UACGUAGGGUGCGAGCGUUAAUCGGAAUUACUGGGCGUAAAGAGUGCGUAGGCGGUUUCUCAAGUCCGCUGUGAAAUCCCCGGGCUCAACCUGGGAAUGGCAGUGGAAACUAGGAGACUUGAAUCUGGCAGAGGGGGGUGGAAUUCCACGGUGUAGCAGUGAAAUGCGUAGAGAUGUGGAGGAACACCGAUGGCGAAGGCGGCUCACUGGCCCGAUACUGACGCUGAGGCACGAAAGCGUGGGGAGCAAACAGGAUUAGAAACCCCCAGUAGG
rnacentral:rRNA from 1 species